CACAUGGAUGUGGGUUGUGCGGUCCAUCGAGUGCUGAGUCUUCGCUAGACUGCUUCGCUCCUUCCCUCUCCAGUUGCUUCUGCAGUCUGGAGCAGCUCUGCCCAGGCUCCCCGGACGAUGGUGGGAGCGGAAUGAGACCCGAGCCGGAGCCGCCGCCAGCUCCGGCAGGGGAGAAAGGAGGGAAGGAAAAAGAGGAGGAAGAAGAGGAGGCGUUGGUGGCGCUGAGGAAAGGAAGCGGCCUCACCAUGCUCAUUAAGAGGGGCCGCCUGAAGGCGGGCGGCGCGCCUCUAAAGAAAGUUAGAGAAGAUUCUGCUGUUGUCCUGGUCUGCAUUACAGUAUUUCUUUCCUACCUGCCAGAAGCAGGCCAGCAUUCUAGCUUUUUUCUCUAGUUGAGACAGCAAGAAGUAGAAGAACAUAGACUUGGAGGAUAGAGAAAACACAAAGAGAGGAAGAAAAUUACACUGUAAUUUACAACUGUAAAUCAUUUAAAGAGGGGCAGAUGUGUGUGGGGGAUAUUCUAACAUCAUCUGGAGCAUAAAUUAGUUUCAGCAUUGUGAAUUGGCCAUAUUCUUUGCUGGUUCAACGUACAGGGUACUGCCUGAACACCCUGUAAAUUGACUCUGUAAAUUCUACUGAGAUAUCUGGGCUGCAGUGACUGAAGUCAACUAUGAAAGUACUCCUCUCCACAUGAAGAAUCUCCUGCUUUGAGAAAAUUGCUUACUUUUGUGUGGAUGAAUAUGUGAACAGCACAACCGUAGCUUAGAUGUAGCUUACUUUUAUCUAAAAAUAAAAAGUAUCUUCCAGCCA
rnacentral:lncRNA from 1 species